UCCUGAAUAGCUCAGUUGGGUUAGAGCAUCUGACUGUUAAUCAGAGGGUCGCUGGUUCGAGCCCAGCUUCAGGAGC
rnacentral:tRNA from 1 species